CAGUAGCCGCGGGAAUACGUAGGUGGCAAGCGUUGUCCGGAAUUAUUGGGCGUAAAGGGCUCGCAGGCGGUUUCUUAAGUCUGAUGUGAAAGCCCCCGGCUCAACCGGGGAGGGUCAUUGGAGACUGGGAAACUUGAGUGCAGAAGAGGAGAGUGGAAUUCCACGUGUAGCGGUGAAAUGCGUAGGGAUGUGGAGGAACACCAGUGGCGAAGGCGACUCUCUGGUCUGUAACUGACGCUGAGGAGCGAAAGCGUGGGGAGCGAACAGGAUUAGAUACCCCCGUAGUCCCUGUCUCUUAUAC
rnacentral:rRNA from 1 species